AUGAACGCUAGCGACAGGCUUAACACAUGCAAGUCGAGGGGCAGCACAGGUAGCAAUACCGGGUGGCGACCGGCGCACGGGUGAGUAACGCGUAUGCAACUUGCCUAUCAGAGGGGGAUAACCCGGCGAAAGUCGGACUAAUACCGCAUGAAGCAGGGAUCCCGCAUGGGAAUAUUUGCUAAAGAUUCAUCGCUGAUAGAUAGGCAUGCGUUCCAUUAGGCAGUUGGCGGGGUAACGGCCCACCAAACCGACGAUGGAUAGGGGUUCUGAGAGGAAGGUCCCCACAUUGGUACUGAGACACGGACCAAACUCCUACGGGAGGCAGCAGUGAGGAAUAUUGGUCAAUGGCCGAGAGGCUGAACCAGCCAAGUCGCGUGAGGGAUGAAGGUUCUAUGGAUCGUAAACCUCUUUUAUAAGGGAAUAAAGUGCGGGACGUGUCCCGUUUUGUAUGUACCUUAUGAAUAAGGAUCGGCUAACUCCGUGCCAGCAGCCGCGGUAAUACGGAGGAUCCGAGCGUUAUCCGGAUUUAUUGGGUUUAAAGGGUGCGUAGGCGGCCUUUUAAGUCAGCGGUGAAAGUCUGUGGCUCAACCAUAGAAUUGCCGUUGAAACUGGGGGGCUUGAGUAUGUUUGAGGCAGGCGGAAUGCGUGGUGUAGCGGUGAAAUGCAUAGAUAUCACGCAGAACCCCGAUUGCGAAGGCAGCCUGCCAAGCCAUUACUGACGCUGAUGCACGAAAGCGUGGGGAUCAAACAGGAUUAGAUACCCUGGUAGUCCACGCAGUAAACGAUGAUCACUAGCUGUUUGCGAUACAUUGUAAGCGGCACAGCGAAAGCGUUAAGUGAUCCACCUGGGGAGUACGCCGGCAACGGUGAAACUCAAAGGAAUUGACGGGGGCCCGCACAAGCGGAGGAACAUGUGGUUUAAUUCGAUGAUACGCGAGGAACCUUACCCGGGUUUGAACGCAUUCGGACCGAGGUGGAAACACCUUUUCUAGCAAUAGCCGUUUGCGAGGUGCUGCAUGGUUGUCGUCAGCUCGUGCCGUGAGGUGUCGGCUUAAGUGCCAUAACGAGCGCAACCCUUGCCACUAGUUACUAACAGGUGAUGCUGAGGACUCUGGUGGGACUGCCAGCGUAAGCUGCGAGGAAGGCGGGGAUGACGUCAAAUCAGCACGGCCCUUACAUCCGGGGCGACACACGUGUUACAAUGGCGUGGACAAAGGGAGGCCACCUGGCGACAGGGAGCGAAUCCCCAAACCACGUCUCAGUUCGGAUCGGAGUCUGCAACCCGACUCCGUGAAGCUGGAUUCGCUAGUAAUCGCGCAUCAGCCAUGGCGCGGUGAAUACGUUCCCGGGCCUUGUACACACCGCCCGUCAAGCCAUGGGAGCCGGGGGUACCUGAAGUCCGUAACCGCGAGGAUCGGCCUAGGGUAAAACUGGUGA
rnacentral:rRNA from 1 species